rnacentral:rRNA from 1 species
GACAGAGGGUGCAAGCGUUGUUCGGAAUCAUUGGGCGUAAAGGGCGCGUAGGCGGCUUAGUAAGUCGAAUGUGAAAGCCCAGGGCUCAACCUUGGAAGUGCAUCCGAAACUACUAAACUAGAGUCCCGGAGAGGGUGGUGGAAUUCCCAGUGUAGAGGUGAAAUUCGUAGAUAUUGGGAGGAACACCGGUGGCGAAGGCGACCGCCUGGACGGAGACUGACGCUGAGGCGCGAGAGCGUGGGGAGCAAACAGG